ACGUAGGUAGCGAGCGUUAUCCGGAAUUAUUGGGUGUAAAGGGUGCGUAGGCGGCUUGUUAAGUUUAAGGUGAAAGCGUGGGGCUCAACUCCAUAAAGCCAUAGAUACUGUCAAUCUAGAGUACUGGAGAGGGUAGUGGAAUUGCAUGUGUAGCGGUAAAAUGCUUAGAUAUAUUAAGGAACACCGGUUGCGAAGGCAGCUCCCUAAACAGAAACUGACGCUGAUGCACGAAAGCGUGGGGAUCAAAUAG
rnacentral:rRNA from 1 species